GCGGGGAGACUCCCUACCCCGCUACUCCCCACCCCCCGACCCUAGGGGUGCGACCUGUCGGAGGAAAGCUGUGGUAACCGUGCUGCACUGCCCUAGCACAGCGAGGCAGGUACGGAUCAUUCCCAUUUGCAGCAGAGAAAAUUUGAGGCUACAGAAGGUUGUUCAGCAUCAUCCAGCCAGAACCCGUGGGCUCGUGAACGGCCUGAGCUGAAAGAGAACAAUGGAUCGUGUAGGUCUUUAUUUGUAGCGUGUGGUCCACUGGGAGUCCAACGUUCUGUGCUUGGGACAGAGAGACUCAGACCCGUCUCCUUCUCCCCGAGUCUGGUGGGGAAGGUGGACGCUUAAAUACAGUUACAACCAGUGUGAUAAAAAUGAGAUGACUGGGGCAUGUUUCCAAAAUAAUGGUAUGUACAGUAGAGGAUUUUGAACGGUACACAAUGGAACAUUUUAAAAAUUAUUAAAUUACGUAUUUCAUUGUUAAAAA